ensembl:snRNA U6 U6 spliceosomal RNA
GUGCUUGCUUUGGCAGAACAAAUACUGAAAUUGGAAUUAUACAUAAAAGAGUAGCAUGACUCCUGCACAAGGAUGGCACAAAUUCGUGAAGUAUUCCAUAUUUUU